rnacentral:rRNA from 1 species
AGUGGCGCAUGGGUGCGUAACACGUGGGCAAUUUGCCAAGAAGUUUGGGAUAACUCGCUGAAAGGCGAGCUAAUACCGGAUGUGAUGUUUGGGAGGCAUCUCCUGAACCUUAAAGCUGGGGACCGUAAGGCCUGGCGCUUCUUGAUAAGCCCGCGGCCUAUCAGCUAGUUGGUGAGGUAACGGCUCACCAAGGCUAAGACGGGUAGCUGGUCUGAGAGGACGACCAGCCUCACUGGAACUGAGAUACGGUCCAGACACCUACGGGUGGCAGCAGUCGAGAAUUUUUCUCAAUGGGCGAAAGCCUGAAGGAGCGACGCCGCGUGGGGGAUGAAUGGCUUCGGCCCGUAAACCCCUGUCAUUUGCGAACAAACCUUACCGGUUAACAACCGGUGAGCUGAUUGUAGCGAAAGAGGAAGGGACGGCUAACUCUGUGCCAGCAGCCGCGGUAAUACAGAGGUCCCAAGCGUUGUUCGGAUUCACUGGGCGUAAAGGGUGCGUAGGUGGUAAGGCAAGUCAGGUGUGAAAUCUCCGGGCUCAACCCGGAAAUGGCAUUCGAAACUACCUUGCUAGAGGGUUUGAGGGGGGACUGGAAUACUUGGUGUAGCAGUGAAAUGCGUAGAUAUCAAGUGGAACACCAGUGGCGAAGGCGAGUCCCUGGAAAACUCCUGACACUGAGGCACGAAAGCUAGGGGAGCAAACAGGAUUAGAUACCCUGAUAGUCCUAGCCCU